rnacentral:lncRNA from 12 species
AUCAGAGCUUUUCAAUUUAUUUUAUCUUAUUAUAUUUUACAAUUUUAAAGAGUUUAUUUAUUUAUGAGACACAGAGAGAGGCAGACACAGGCAGAGGGAGAAGCAGACUCCCUGUGGGGAGCCUGAUGUGGACUUGAUCCCAGGACCCCAGGGAUGCGCCCUGAGCCGAAGGCAGACGCUCCACCGCUGAGCUACCCAGGCACCCCGCCUCAAUUUAUUUUAAUUGCAACCCCGAACCUUGCAAUUUCCUGCAUGCAUGUGUCCAUAUAUAUAUGUCCGUGCAUCUCUAUAUUUACUUUUUUUUGAGGCUGUCUUAUGCAGGAUGUGGUAAGACGCAAUUUAUCAAACGUAGGUGAUAGGAGAAUGAUUUUUCAGAGGACGUUUGGCAAGUGUCCAUGAAAGCCUUAAAAUAUUUAUUUCCCCUUUGUGUUAGGAAUUGGAUUUCUAGACGUACAGUCCGAGUGCAUGAUCAGAGAUGGAGACAAAGAUGUCUGUGGCCGUCCUAAAUUAGAUUCAGUCUUCGUAUCCUGCCCAUUAAGACACAACGCUGAGCGACAGUGUAGAUCUGCUUGGUGGAACCUCGUUUUUAGAUGCUGGGCUCAGGCUGUCUGCAGAGUCGCCCCAGUGGCAGAGAGCAGCCCUGCCUCGAUGUGUCUGUGAGGAGUGACUGCACCGAGGGCUUCUCGACACGCUGCUGUGGGUCGGCUUUUGCACAUGGCCCUGUGGUGCAGACGCUGGUCCCGCGUGCUUCCAGCCUCAUGCAGGCCCAGGCUCAGGGUCGAUGCUCCGCAAGACAGCGCUGAACGACUCGAUGGUGGAACGGACAGAGGCACAUGCAAGCUGCGGCUCUCACACGGGGCCAGUCGAGGCCCUUGAUGCUGCCGUUAGGCGCUUCUGCUAUCCAGCUCAAAACAAGAGCAACAACCUCCAAGAAUCUUGGAGUGUAAAGACGUCAGGUCGGCCUUGCUUUAGCGAGUGUGUCUGUCUCCGGUCCUCACUCUGGAAAUACUCCCUGGUGAUGCUGCCCCUGGUGAGUCCUUCACAAGCUCUGCCCGCGGCUGACAGCCCCGCUCAAGGAGGUUUGCCUGGGGUUCAAGAUGCUUCUGCAGCCACCGCCGGCGUUCCUACAUCCCACGCGGGAAGGAGUAAGGAAGAGGGAGGCUGAGACCGGGAUUCUUUGCUGCGGUAACCCCUCAAAGAGCCCGCCUGGAUGCCGUACCUCCUGACUUGUGCUUACAAGGUAUCAGCUGCACCAGGGACUGGACGGUGUUCUUUGCAGGGUGCCUGCCGCCCCAUUAGCAAAAGCAUUAUGCUAGUGAAGAACAGGGAAAAAUGGAUUUGGGUUGAUAACUAAUGGGUGGCCCAGUUGGCAUGACAUGCACGUUCUUCCUCUGGUCUGGGGUCAUGUUUGAAGUCAAACGAUCUAGGGGUGCCUGGGGGGUGGGGGAGCUUGGUCAGUGGAACAUCUGCCUUCAACUCAGGUCAUGACUUCAGGGUCCUGGGAUAGAGUCCAGCGUCGGGCACCCUGCUCUGCAGGGCGUCUACUUCUCCCUCCCUCCCUCCCUCUCUGUCUGCUACUUCCCCUGCUCAUGUGCUGUCUGUCAAAUAAAUAAAUACAAUCUUAAAAAAAAAAUAAAGUC